UGGGGAAUAUUGCACAAUCGGCGCAAGCCUGAUGCAGCCAUGCCGCGUGUAUGAAGAAGGCCUUCGGGUUGUAAAGUACUUUCAGCGGGGAGGAAGGGAGUAAAGUUAAUACCUUUGCUCAUUGACGUUACCCGCAGAAGAAGCACCGGCUAACUCCGUGCCAGCAGCCGCGGUAAUACGGAGGGUGCAAGCGUUAAUCGGAAUUACUGGGCGUAAAGCGCACGCAGGCGGUAUGUCAAGUCGGAUGUGAAAUCCCCGGGCUCAACCUGGGAACUGCAUUCGAAACUGGCAGGCUAGAGUCUUGUAGAGGGGGGUAGAAUUCCAAGUGUAGCGGUCAAAUGCGUAGAGAUCUGGAGGAAUGCCGGUGGCGGAGGCGGCCCCCUGGACAAAGACUGACGCUCAGGUGCGAAAGCGUGGGGAGCAAACGGG
rnacentral:rRNA from 1 species